rnacentral:rRNA from 1 species
AAAGGUAGCAUAAUCAUUUGUCUUUUAAAUGAAGACUGGAAUGAACGGUUUGACGUAGUCCGACUGUCUCUUUUCUAUUAACUAGAAUUUAAUUUUUAGGUGAAGAGUCCUGAGUGAAAUCGAAAGACGAAAAGACCCUGUCGAACUUGAAAGUGUUUUUAGAAUAUAUUGUCUAGUAGGGUAAGAGUUUUCUGAAAUUCUUUUUUGUUGGGGUGACAUAAGAACAUGGAAAGCUUCUUAGAGUUAGUUAAAACUAAUAGGUUGGUGAAAUCCAUAAAGAAUAUUAUGAAUUAAGCUAAGUUACCGCAGGGAUAACAGCGUUAUUUUUUUGGAGAGUUCAAAUUGAAGAAAAAGAUUGCGACCUCGAUGUUGGAUUGGAAGUCCCGACUGGCGAAGAAGCUUGUUUAAUGGGGGGUCUGUUCGACCUUUAAAUUUCCACAU